rnacentral:lncRNA from 1 species
UCCCCUCUGUCUGAACUUUGUAAGCUACCUUGCUAAUUUUUUCUUUAAUUUUGUAAGGUCCGAAGAACUUUUAGCAAAUUUUGUUAUGUAAUCUGUGUGCAAUGGUUAACUGUCGAUAGGGCUGUAGUUUAACUAGGAUUAAAUCUCCUACCUCGAAUUCAAUUUCUCUUCUCCCCUUAUCAGCAUUACUUUUCAUUCUAUUCUGAGUCUUGAUUAGAUUCCUCUUGAUUACCUCCAAUGCCUCUUUUCUUAGAUGUAAUUCCCUAUCUACUGUCUCAAUAUUAGAAAUUUCAGAUGAAAAGUUGGGAAAUAGGGAUGCCUCUCUUCCAUAUAAUGUUUGAAAGGGAGUUUGUCCUAAAGAAGCGUUAUAAUUGGUAUUAAACCACAAUUCUGCCUAAGGGAGUAUUUUUAGCCAUUCAGUGGGUUCUUCAUGGGUCAUGGCCCUUAAAUACAUUUCGAUUCCUCUGUUCACGACUUCUGUUUGGCCGUCACUCUGAGGGUGGUAGGCAGAGGUAAAAUUGAGUUUUGUGCCACUCAAUUUAUUCAGUUCCUUCCAAAAUUUGGAUACAAAAACCUUAUCUCUAUCAGAAACUAUAGAGUUAGGAUAUCCAUGUAAUCUAAUUAUUUAUUGGACAAAGAAUCCAGCCACCAUCAGAGCAUUGUAAUUUGAUGGGAGUGCCCCUAGAUGACAAGAUUUAGAAAGUCUAUCAACCACUAAUAUGAUCAUAGAUUUUUUUUUUAUACCUGUGGUAGGCCGGUGAUGAAGUCCACAGAUAUGUCCUGUCAUACAGAUGCUGGAAUGGGCAGAGGCAUAAGUAAUCCAUUGUUUUUCUGAUUAGAAGAUUUAAUCUUUUGACAGAUAAUACAUUCUUUGACGUAUUUUUGUAUUUCUUUACACAUUCCUUGCCACUAGAAAUUUUUGGAGAUUCUACUGAAUGUUCUCUACUCCUGAGUGACCUCCAAUAUAACCAUCAUGGAACUCAUGUAAUAUUUUUGGAAUCAAUUCGAUCAGUCCCUGUAAUUAGCAAAAUUCUCCAUUUAAAAAUAUAUUAGAUCAUUUCUAAGCUCAUAUCCUUGUGAUUUCAGAUUGCCUUCUGUGAUUUCAGAUUGCCUUCUGCGAUUCCUUUUAUAUAAACUUUAGGCUCUCCUCCUGCCUUUAUGUUGUAUGCUUUUAUUUCUUCAAUAAGUUGGUGUAUAGGGAUAGAAAAAGAUAACAUAGACUCCUUUAUUACUUCAGCCUUGUUGGAGUAUAUAAUUUCUUCUUCGUUUUCAUAGCUUCUAGACAAUGCAUCAGCCACUUGAUUGUAUUUUCCUGGUUUGUAUAUUAUAGAAAAAUCAUAGCCUAAGAGCUUACAGAGGAAUACCUGUUGUUCUGGAGUUUGUAUCACCUGAGUCAAUAAAUUCUUCAAGCUUCUGUGAUCUGUCUUUAUGGUGAAGUGUCUACCAAGGAGGUAGUGUCUCCAUUUUGCUACUGAUUGUGUGAUAGCAUACAUCUCCUUGAUGUAAAUAGAGGUUGCUGAUAAUCUUCCACUUAUCUUGCUGCUAAAAAAGGCAAUAGGGAGAUUUUCUUGCAAUAGGACAACCCCAAUUCCAGUACUACAGGCAUCAAUCUCCACAGUAAAUUCUUUCUGAAAAUCAGGAAAUUGAAGGAUGGGAGCUGAGGUCAUGCCAAUUUUUAAUACUUCGAAACUUUUUGUGGCUUUUUCAGACCAUUUGAAAGCAUCCUUCUUUAGUAGUUCAGUCAUGGGAGUGACAAGUUGGGCAUAUCCUUUUAUGAACCUCCUAUAAUAUCCACUAAGCCCAAGGAAUCCUCUCAAUUGUUUCAAGGUUUUGGGUAUUGGCCAUUCCAAGAUGGCUUGUAUUUUAGCGGGAUCUGGAUUUACCCCGUCUUGACUGAUUAUAUGGGUCAAGAAUCCCAUUGAUGAUUGCCCAAAUGAGCAUUUUGACUUCUUGGCUAAGAGCUGAUUUUUCUUCAGAAUGUUGAAUAUGAUUUUCAGAUGUUGUAGGUGGCUUUCUAUGGAGGGAGUGUAGACUAAAAUGACAACAAAAAAGAUUAUUACAAACUUCCUUAGGUAUUCUUGAAAAACUCUGUUCAUUACGGCCUGAAAUGUGGCAGGUGCAUUGGUUAGGCCAAAGGGCAUCACCAAAAAUUCUUAAUGGUCUUGGUGGAUUCUGAAAGCAGUUUUUUCAAUAUCUUUAGGGUGUAUUCUGAUCUGGUGGAAGCCUGAUCUUAGAUCUAAUUUAGAAAAAAUAGUUGACCCUUUUAGUUCUCCCAAUAGCUCAUCUACAGUGGGUAUAGGGAAUUUGUCUUUUAUGGUAAUGGCAUUGAGGGCUCUAUAGUCUACACAUAGCCUAUACCCUCCAUCCUUUUUUUUCACUAGUAGUACGGGUGAGGAAUAAGGACUAGUGCUGGGUUGUAUUAUUGGAGUAGCUCUCUGAUUAGUUUCUCAAUUUCUCCUUUUUGAAAUUGAGGAUAUCUGUAGGGCCUCACAUUUACUUGUAUGAAUUUCUGUUACAAAGAAGAAAAUUAUACUUAUGUGACAUGUCACAUAGAAUAUAAUUACACGGAUCUUCUGAUCUCACAUCAUUCUAUAUUUUCUUUUGAUUGCUAUUUUUGAUUUUUCUUCUUCUACUGUUUUAAUAAUUCUUUGAUCAGUUGAUGUGCUAUUACUUUAAUUGGUUAGAUCUGUUCUUUCCAUGAAUAUCUUUUCGACCUUCUUACUCUUCUAUCUAAAUCCUAUGGAUGAGUUGUUAAGUAAGAUGGCUCUCUUGUGACAUUUUUUAUUUUCCAAUAGAAAUUAGGUAGAUUCCAUAACCUCCAUAAUCUAACUAUUAUUUUAAUUUAAUCAUUCACUAAGUUGAUAUCAACAGGGAGAUCAUACUCCCUCUGAGGUGGAAGUCCUUUGGGCUCAUCGAAAAUUUCAGCAUUCUCCUCUAAAAUUCCAGCAACUUCAGAAUUUUUCUUCUUUUGGUCUGUCAUGUCUGCUGUCUCAAAAUAACAUAGAAAUGCUUCUGAUGUUGUCUUUUCUAGUGAUUUCAGCUGUCCCGUAGUUGGUGUUUCAUUGUCCAGCCAUGAUAUGCCCUGCCAGAUCACUUGUUCUCCUUUCCAGAAAAAUUUCAUAACAAGGUCUUUGUAAUUGGAAACAACAUCACCAAGUUGUUUUAACCAUUGAGUUCCAAUUACUACAUUAGCUCCGGCCAUAUUUAAUAAGAAUAAAUCUAGAGUUAUCAAUGUGCCUUGAAUUUUUAUUUUCACGCCCUUGCAUACUUUAUCACUCAAUAGCUUCUCCCCACUACCAGUAGACACUCUAAAAGGAUUUAUAGCACAGAUUGUUAGCUGUAGGUUCUUGGCCACUUCUUCUUGCAUGAAGUUGUGAGUAGAUCCAGUGUCAAUGAGCACACUUACACUUUGACUCUUGAUAAAUCCCUCCAAUCUAAUAGUUCUUAUGCCAAUUCUGUCUUGUAGAGCUUGCACACUGAUUUCAGAUUCUUCCUCAAUUUCUAAAUUUUUUAUCUCAACUUCCUCUUCUUCUUCUUUAGCUAGCUCCCAGAAUGUGUUAUCUUCAGCAGAGAAUCUGAAUAAUUUGCCCUUGCAUUUGUGACCUGAUGCGAUUUUUUCGUCACAAUUGAAGCAUAGUCCCUUUGAGGUUCUUUCUUUUCUUUCAGCAAAUGCAAGCCUCUUGAAGUUGGGAUUUAGGUUUCCCGCCUUAUUGUUGUUUGCUGAAUUGUUUGCCGAAGUAGUAUUUGUAGGAGAGUUUAAAGUUCCUUCGCCACCUGUUUUAUUGAAAUAGGUUUUGCCUUUGUAUCCUCCCCAUUUAAAAGUAGAAGUGUUGCCCGUACCUUACUUCUCUAGGUGUACAGCUAGUUCCAUGGCCUCUUGUAGAUCUUCUAAUUUUGCUCUGACUACUUCUGUCUGAACUUCAUCUUUCAAUCCGGAUAGAAACAUUUCUAGGAGGAACCAGUCAGGGAUUUCCACUACCUUGGAUGAAUAAUCUUCGAAUUUCUGAACAAAGUAUGCCACUGUGGUAGUCUGAACUAGCUUGCUCAAUCUCCCGCCUGGGAUGGUAUAUGUGGUAGGAUUGAAUUUCUUGAGAAGUGAUUUAACAAAUGCAGGCCACGUAGUUAAAUAAUUGCUCGAUGCCAUCCAUAGGAACCAUUUGAGUGCCACUCCUUGCAUAUUAAAAGAUGCAAUUAUAAGUUUCUGCUCCUUUGGAGUAUUAUGAAAUAUGAAAAACCUUUUAGCCAUGAAUAUCCAAAGCUCAGGUUCAUUGCUAUCAAAUCUUGGCAUGUCGAAUUUUAUGUGCUUUGAAGGAGUAUAUUCAGAAUUCCCGUGCAUGCUAACUGCAUAUGCUGGCCUUUCUGGAUCUACUAAAGCCUCAGUCCUUGCUUUACUUGAGUCUCUUGUUAUCUGUGGUUCUUCAUCUGCAUACAUUUCCUGUUUUUUCUCUAAUAUUUUCUAAUUGUUUUGCUAAUUUCAGAGAAUUGUUGUUGAUCAGGUUGCGAAGUUCUGUCAUUUCUUUUGUUUGAGACAACUGGAACUCUUGGAGCCUCUUCAUGUUGGCUUCCAUUUCUUCUGCAGAAGAUACCAUUCUAGCCAUCCAAUCUAAAUUUUCCUGAAAAUGAGUAAAUGGAUUGAAAGCAUCAGUUGAUACACUUAAGAUAUCAAUAAACUAAUUCCUGGAAAUUAUAAUGGAGUAAUAGGACCUUAGAGGACCCUUUGUCUUCGAUCUAGGAUCGAAAUUCGAUCUAGAUGGUAGAGACUUAGGGCUAUGGAAUUAGUUCCUUCUAAAAUUUACUGAUCGGACUGAAUAUUGAUGCAGGGCGGAGCUGGAGUUGGAGUUGUUGCGAGGAGAAUCCGUUGGUGAAAUUGAUGGUGCCAAGGGGUGCGGAUGGAGGAGCUAGGAGGACGCCUGAGGUUGGGAAGGUGAUCGUGGAGCGACGCGAGCUGUGGAGGUUACCGGAGUACCUGAUCGGAGAGUGGGGAGGUGAAACGUUGAACGUCGAAAUAGAGAGGGAUGUGAUAAUGGAAAAAUUGUAUUUUUAUUCAUUAGUUUUAACAAAAUACAUUCGGGGCCCUUUAUAGGGACACAAAGGGGUACGAUAGUAAUUAUGUAAAAACCCUUAAUGAGUG